rnacentral:rRNA from 2 species
ACCCUUUAAUGUUUGAUGUUCUAACGUGGACCCGUUACCCGGGUUGCGGACAGUGUCUGGUGGGUAGUUUGACUGGGGCGGUCUCCUCCUAAAGAGUAACGGAGGAGCACGAAGGUUGGCUAAUCCUGGUCGGACAUCAGGAGGUUAGUGCAAUGGCAUAAGCCAGCUUGACUGCGAGCGUGACGGCGCGAGCAGGUGCGAAAGCAGGUCAUAGUGAUCCGGUGGUUCUGAAUGGAAGGGCCAUCGCUCAACGGAUAAAAGGUACUCCGGGGAUAACAGGCUGAUACCGCCCAAGAGUUCAUAUCGACGGCGGUGUUUGGCACCUCGAUGUCGGCUCAUCACAUCCUGGGGCUGAAGUAGGUCCCAAGGGUAUGGCUGUUCGCCAUUUAAAGUGGUACGCGAGCUGGGUUUAGAACGUCGUGAGACAGUUCGGUCCCUAUCUGCCGUGGGCGCUGGAGAACUGAGGGGGGCUGCUCCUAGUACGAGAGGACCGGAGUGGACGCAUCACUGGUGUUCGGGUUGUCAUGCCAAUGGCACUGCCCGGUAGCUAAAUGCGGAAGAGAUAAGUGCUGAAAGCAUCUAAGCACGAAACUUGCCCCGAGAUGAGUUCUCCCUGAGACUUA